ACAAGGGUUUGGAUCUUGAGCAAAUAACAUCAGCUACAUUGACAAAGCUGGAAGAAGUUAAAGCAAGAACAGCUAAGGACUUACACAUAUUAUUGAACCUUGAAAAGUCCUUGAUUUAAGGGUCAAUCUAAAGCCUUGUCUGGUAAUUCCUCAGACAGGUUUUCACCAAGAAAUGUCAGAUAUUCUGAUUUUAGAUUUUGGUACACUUCAGCUCAGCAGUAAUGAUUGAGGU
rnacentral:lncRNA from 1 species